AUGAACGCUGGCGGCGUGCCUAAUACAUGCAGGUCGAGCGAACAGACGAGGAGCUUGCUCCUCUGACGUUAGCGGCGGACGGGUGAGUAACACGUGGAUAACCUACCUAUAAGACUGGGAUAACUUCGGGAAACCGGAGCUAAUACCGGAUAAUAUAUUGAACCGCAUGGUUCAAUAGUGAAAGACGGUUUUGCUGUCACUUAUAGAUGGAUCCGCGCCGCAUUAGCUAGUUGGUAAGGUAACGGCUUACCAAGGCAAUGAUGCGUAGCCGACCUGAGAGGGUGAUCGGCCACACUGGAACUGAGACACGGUCCAGACUCCUACGGGAGGCAGCAGUAGGGAAUCUUCCGCAAUGGGCGAAAGCCUGACGGAGCAACGCCGCAUGAGUGAUGAAGGUCUUCGGAUCGUAAAACUCUGUUAUUAGGGAAGAACAAAUGUGUAAGUAACUAUGCACGUCUUGACGGUACCUAAUCAGAAAGCCACGGCUAACUACGUG
rnacentral:rRNA from 1 species